rnacentral:rRNA from 1 species
UACUACGGGAGGCAGCAGUAGGGAAUCUUCCGCAAUGGACGAAAGUCUGACGGAGCAACGCCGCGUGAGUGAUGAAGGUUUUCGGAUCGUAAAACUCUGUUGUUAGGGAAGAACAAGUACCGGAGUAACUGCCGGUACCUUGACGGUACCUAACCAAAAAGCCACGGCUAACUACGUGCCAGCAGCCGCGGUAAUACGUAGGUGGCAAGCGUUGUCCGGAAUUAUUGGGCGUAAAGCGCGCGCAGGUGGUCUCUUAAGUCUGAUGUGAAAGCCCCCGGCUCAACCGGGGAGGGUCAUUGGAAACUGGGAGACUUGAGUGCAGGAGAGAAGAGUGGAAUUCCACGUGUAGCGGUGAAAUGCGUAGAGAUGUGGAGGAACACCAGUGGCGAAGGCGACUCUUUGGCCUGUAACUGACACUGAGGCGCGAAAGCGUGGGGAGCAAAAGGAUUAGAUACCCUGGUAGCCCACGCCGUACACGAUGAGUGCUAAGUGUUAGAGGGUUUCCGCCCUUUAAUGCUGCAGCAAACCCAUUAAGCACUC